rnacentral:snoRNA from 1 species
UAGCACGAUAAGUUACAGUGCAGCUUGUUCAGUGCUGCUCUGUCCAUUCCCCUUCCACACAUCAACUAGUUUCAUACUAUCCCUGCCUGCCUGCAUUUCACUGCAGACCGGGACUCUUGGUCUUGGACAA